UAACUUCUUUGUUUUGGCUGAGUCUCGCCAUCUUUCUAUAGAAUAUAGUUAUAUAUAUAUAUAUAUUUUCCUUCUUUUCUUUUAAAUAUUUAUUUACUCUAUAAUAAUAAUAAAUCCCUGCUUCGUUUUGAGUGUUUUAACUCUCAAUCACCGCUACCCUUUCCAAUUGAUCUAAGUCCCAUAACGCAUGUCAAGGCUCUGCCCGACUAAGUUCGUUUGGGUUCCAUCUCGGGACUUCGGGAUAAAAUUGAACUAGGGGUAUUAUACUUAACACGAGUACAUUAUAUAUUUUUCUUUAGCCCAAAGGUUAUACCCAAAAUUUAUACCAGGAGUCCUUCUAAUUGAACCCUAAAGUUACACAGUGGAUCCAUUCUUUUUCUCACCAUUUUAUUCUCUUUUUGGUAAGUUACCCAAACUAUUAUUUAUUACUUAUUAUUUAUUAUUUCUAUUUUGUAACCAAACUUUUAUCAAAAGUCAUGCCUAUUAUUUUAUUUACCCAAUAGGGAACCAUAGUUGAGACACCCAAGUAAACCUGCACAAAUCCUAACAAUCAGAAUCAGGAUCAGAGCCCCUAAAACUCAAGGGGGGCAAAACCCUAGUUACGAUUAUCUUCAUAACUGAUUAUAAAAUUCGAAAAUUUAAAAUCUGUCGACACAGCAAGCCUACAUGCACGAAGGGCUACCCUAUGAAAAUAGGUUGAUCACUCGCGUAGCGCGACGACUAAGGGGGUACCCCCUCGCGCUACGCGACGGUGUCAAAUUUUCAGUAUAAAUAGCAGGGGUUGGGACUUGAAUUUUGGCACUUGAACGACGAAAAUCGGAGUUACGUAGGUCGAGUUAUAAGCAAAACAGUCCAACACACACACACAAUUAUCGAAUCGCUGCCGCAAAACAGGGUAAUUAGUCGAUCGCUAUUACGAUUCAGUUUCCGGGAUCAAUAUACCCAAAGAAUGUCUAAGUGCCGCCCACAUUGGGCUAUGCUUUAUCGUUGUCGAUAAUUCGAUAAUGAGCCGAAGCAUUGUACUUUGUCGUUGUCGAUAAUUCGAUAUACGAGUUGAAGUACUAUACUUUGUCGUUUGUCAUUUUGAUAAAUGAGCUGAAGUAUUGCACUUGGACAUUCAUUGUAAAAAUUGAUCUCGGGGAAUUAUCGUAACUGCUGUAUUGAUCAUUAACCUGGUUCUUGUAAAAUUCGUUAAGAUUUGAUUUAGGUUUUACACCAAUACGUAUUCUAUUCUGUUAAACCACCAAAAACACUCCCAACUACACCCUUACAAUCAAAUAAACUAUAAAAUCAUCAGAAGAUCCAGAAUAAUAAAGUGCAUGCUUAAUUAUCGGGAAAAGUAGAAUCAAGAAAUUUGUUAACUCAAUCCUGCAUGAUGAUUUGUAAUUACAGUAGAUUGGAGUAAGGAUUGGAUCCGGCACUAAAAGACUUCAAGAAGUGGCUUAUUUUCAAAUUAAGAAAUAUUAUUUUUAUUAAAAGCUACCUUUGUAAAACAUGGAAUUUAUUCCAUCUUUUUAAAAUAAAAUCCGGUGUUUCUAAACUCUGAUAUUUUUCCUAACUCACGGUCCUGAUGAAAUUUCCGCUGCAAUGUUUUUCAAAAUAAUCACCGGUACCACUGGACUGCUCACGACACCGAUUCCGGUCAGAUGGGGUCGGGGGUCGUGACAUCAACCUUCUUCGUUGGAGCUAUAUUCACAAGUUUUGCGGUAGUUUCCAAAGCAUAACUCCAAAAGGAGCGUGGGAGGGUUGUUCGACACAUCAUUGAUCGAACCAUAUCUAAUAGAGUUCGAUUUCUCCGUUCAGACACACCAUUAUGUUGUGGCGUUCCAGGUGGAGUGAGCUGUGAAACUAUUCCACAAUCAUUUAGAUGUUCGAUGAACUCUUGGCUAAGAUAUUCACCGCCUCGAUCUGAUUGAAGCAUCUUAAUAGUUCUAUUUAGCUGAUUCUCUACUUCGUUUUGGUACUCCUUGAACUUUUCAAAUGUCUCAUGUUUAUGCUUCAUAAGAUAAACAUAACCAUAUCUACUGAAAUCAUCAGUGAAUGUAACAAAGUAUCUU
rnacentral:lncRNA from 1 species